UACGACCAUAUCAUGUUGAAACCUGCUCCCGUACGAUCACUGACGUUAAGCAAUUUCAGGCCUAGUCAGUAACUAGAUGAGUGACUGUUUUGGAAUACUAGUUGCUGUAAG